UCAAAGGUCUUCCAUUUUGAUGUGCGUAU
rnacentral:sRNA from 1 species